UACGAAGGGUGCUAGCGUUGUUCGGAAUUACUGGGCGUAAAGCGCGCGUAGGCGGUUUUCCAAGUCAGAGGUGAAAGCCCUGGGCUCAACCCAGGAAUUGCCUUUGAAACUGGAAAACUAGAGUGUCGGAGGGGAUAGCGGAAUUCCUAAUGUAGAGGUGAAAUUCGUAGAUAUUAGGAGGAACACCGGUGGCGAAGGCGGCUAUCUGGACGACAACUGACGCUGAGGCGCGAAAGCACGGGGAUCAAACAGG
rnacentral:rRNA from 1 species